AUUUGAAUGGUAUACCACUGGAAGAAGACACAUUAGCUCAAGAAAUGUUUCCAGUAUUUGGGAAAUGUAGGAAAAUAGUAACUAGAAGGAACAUGGAAUUGGAUGGCCAUUGCUAGCCUCAACUGAUGCUCUGGAAGAAAAUAACAAAAAAGCUGAGAACAUUUAUUAGCAAUUAAAAGUUAAAUGUGAAGGCCCAGAGGGUCUCCUAGGUAGCCUGUAAAGCAAGGCUAAAAGCAGAAACACAGAGAAAGCCCAAUCCCACAAUGAUAGUGAUAGAGCUUGAAAGAGGUGCUCAGCUAAAGCAGAUCUACUGCAGUAGGACCUCAAAACAAGGGGCAGGCGUGGUGGUAAAAAUUUUUUUGGGCUCCAGCAUUGUAAUGAGUGACAAGGUUAGAGCAGUAGCUACAGGAUGUUACUGUAUAGCGAGUACAUAGAGACUUUUUUUUUGUCUUUUGUCUUUUUAGGGCCACACCUGCGGCAUAUGGAGGUUCCCAGGCUAGUGGUCUAAUCAGAGCUGUUGCUGCCAGCCUACACCAGAGCCACAGCAAUGCCAGAUCCGAGCCGCAUCUGCAACCUAUACCACAACUUACGGCCAUGCUGGAUCCUUAACUCACUGAGCGAGGCCAGGGAUCGAACCUGCAACCUCAUGGUUCCUAGUCGGAUUCGUUUCCACUGCGCCAAGUUGACAACUCCCGUAGAGACUUUUGAAAGUAGUUAAUAGAAUAUGGUCACUAAAGACUAAAUCAAAGGGCAGCAAAAAAGGACAUUGCUGAAUUAUACUAUCAAAAACCAGUUUUAAAGAAGUCAAGAAAAAAUUUUUUUGGCAGGGGGUGGAGGAAAGAAUCGAAGGGGGUUGCCUCAUGCUCAAAGAGACUUAUUGCAAGAGCCAAGCAAGGAGAAUGGGCUGGGGCUGGAGGGAGAGUGGAGUUGAGGAGGUGGUGGUGGGGAGGUGGCUCAUGUGCAAAAGAUUUGAACUCCAAGAAAAGUAUCCUCAUGUAGACAAAAUUACUAGUCAGGGACCAUGCUUUUCAUUCUAUUCAGAGCAGAAAAACCAUAUUCUCCAUUUUUCUUCAAUAGAGUAGUCAGCACAUUCAGCAUCACUUUUCUGCCCUUUAGCAGCCCUAAAAGAAUGUUUCUUUAGAAAACUCUUUCUGAGGUGCAGUGUGGAGGUUUAUUUUAGAUGUGACCAUCUGUGUGAGGUGCAAGGGUUAUUUUUAAAGGAGCUCUUUCAUUUGUCUUUGUGGGAGAAAGGUUGCCCCAAUCAAAAUGACCUCAGUUUGUGGGGCACCUGUGAAACUAGGCAGGAAUUGGCUCAAGUACAAAAGACUUUGUUUUCCUUUUUCUUUCCUAUGGUAGUUAACUUGAUUUCUUCUCUCCAUAAAUUCUUUAAUUGGUUUAAUAAAAUACACAGCAAACUGAGUGCCCUUUUCUUUUCUUUCCAUUGUGAAUAUUUAAUGAAGUUUAAGUAACUGAAACAUUGCAUUUUGUGCAAAAAGGAGAAAAUUUAAAGGUUUCUGAAUAACUAGAAAUACUUAAAAGAAGAGAAAUUUUAAAGCAGUAGGGCUUUCUUUGAUAAUAAUUGUCACAUUCACAUUAGUCACUCUUAAAUAAAACCUGCCCUAGCAUUCUGUAGGCAAUAAAGAAGGCAUAAUCCCUCUUAUUUUUAUUUCUGUAGUGUGUGAAGUUUUACUAGCGGGAGUGUUAAACUAAUUUUUUUAAGACAAACAAGAGAUUUAAUGUUAACAGUUGCUGUGCCCUAAAGCUAACCAGACAGCUGGGGAUUGCCCCAAAUUGAUGUAAGGUUGUAGCAUUUUCCAAGAGAGUCUUAAUUUUUCUUUUGAGAGAGGAUCUUAUAUAAUGAUAGGAGGGAAGGGGUUCAGAAUUUCAAUCACCUACACAUUUGUCACUGACCCUUCCAGUGGCUUCAGGUGUAUCAGUUAUUGUUAAGAGGUAAAAUUUACCAAGUGAAGGGGCACAGAGGAAAUAAUAUAACCAGAACCUGGUAGACUUUUCUGUGGAUGCAUGGCCUUUAGAAAUAGUGGCCUGGUGGGGGCAGAGCUACUGCAAGGAUCAUGACAUUGAAGUAGAAAGAGUCAGGAAGAAAUAUCCUGCCAUUCCUCUCUACCUAUUGUCUGAUCCCAGAAGACAAGGGAGCCUGGCCGAUGCUAUUAUGGUGGUGACAUGACAGUGCAGAAAAUGCUGGGCAUGGCUAUUGGGAAUGGGUGGUCAUAGUCCCUUAUCUCUUUUCACUUCAUGGGUCUUUCUAUUUCUGCUGUAAGUUACCACACAUUUAGUGACUUAGAACAACACAAAUGUAUUUUCUUAUAGUUCUUCAAUCAAACUCUGAAAUUGUCUCACCGGGCUAAAAUCACAGGGAGUCUGCAUUCCUUCCUGCUGGAGGUCAUAAAGGAGAAUCCAUUGCCAAGUCUUUUCCACCUUCUAGAGGCUGCCUGUAUUCCUUGGCUCAUGACUCCUUUCUUCCAUCGUCAAAGCCAGAAAUAGCAGGUUGAAUUUUCUUCCCAUUCUCCCUUUUCUAUCUCUCGUAUUUAGAAGGGCUCUUGGGAUUAAUUACAUUGGAUCCACCUGCAGAGUCCAGGGGGCAUACUUACCCAUUGUGAGGUCAUUGGAUUAACCUUAAUUCUCCUUUGCUUGGUAACCUGACAUAGUCAUAGGAUUAGGUCAUGGACUUGGCCGGAGGAGCCUAUCACACAUUGUUAGUUCGAAGACAUUGCCUAGGAGUAUUAAAGAUUCUCCUCUUGCCUCACAGUGUAGCAGAUAGAAUAAUGACCAAAGGUCCCAACUAACUAUGUGUUAAGGAUUUUCAUGUACCUUCUCUCCUGCUAUUUGUUGCUGAAUGAAGCAUGAAGAUGUCACUAGUGGAAACUAUAUUGUUACAGACUUACAAAGAUUCCAUUUGAACAUAGUUUUGAAUUAGAGGAUUUAUCAACUGUUCUCUUACUGGAUCUCUGUGAUAUUUCAGGAUGUUUUAGUUUCUGGCCUUGGCAAAAGAUCAUAUUUUUGGACAGUUAUCUUCAGUAGGUGUUCAGUAAAGUCUCCAAGGGAAGGAAAACCUAGAUAGUGGACUAUGCAUCUUUCUCAGGUGAGGGAGGAAAUUACUAUACCACUUGAUAUUAGUAAUUGUGCUUUCAGAGAUUUACAGCUAUUUUACAAAUUAGAUCCAUUUGAGGUCUAAAGAAAAUGCCUCUUUUCGUCCAUUAUCUGUAUUACAACUGACUCAAAUCAAUCUGACUAUCCAUAUUAAGUUCUUUUUGGUAGAUGAUGUUAGCCAGUGAUGGGUGCAGGUUAGCUGUGCCUCUGAAACCUUGCUACCAGGUUAAAAUCAAAGCAAGAUGCAAACAAGGUUUUGCCACAUAUAACAGAUAUUUAUUAAGUCAGCAUUCAUUAACAAGUUGACAUGAAAUAUUUUAGAAGCUUGUUCUGAAGGCUUGAUAAAUUUUCAUAUCCAUCUUCUAAGUGCUGUGACAAAUUGAGAAUGAAGACAAAAGGGGAAAGGAAAGCAGAUAAAGACUAAAGAGUAUGGCACAGUUUCUCCUCUGUACAUGUGAUAACUGGCAUAGUGGUUAGACCAUGGACUUUAGAUCACACGGGACUGCAUUUGAAUCCCAGAUCUGCGACUUCCUGACAGUGUCAUCUAGGGAAAGCUGCUUAUACUUUUCUAUGUCUCAUAAUCUUUAAAAUGGGGAUUUUAAGAGUAUAUCUGAGACAAAAGGUUGCUGUAAGGAUUAAAUGCUUAAGAAAGUGCAGAGGGAAAAAAAUGCCGACACAGGGUAAGCACUGUGUGUUAGCUAUCAUUAUUAUUAUCUCAAAGAGGAGAUGAAAGGACAUGGUUCUCUCAGUGGGAAAAUGGGCCUACUGAUCCUAAUCUCCAGAGUUAGAAAUCUUUUGCCCUUAUCAUGGCAAAGUCUCACAAGUCACGGCAGGCCUGCACCUGGCAAGCCUCACCCAUAGAGGGUCUGUCUACUCAGGUAAGACCUGAGGCAGAAAGGCUAGGAGGAGAAUUCCCCCCAGGGCAGGCCGCUUGCCCUCGGGAAGACAAAAGAAAGUGAGCUGAGCAUGACCUGUUAACUCUUUCCAAAUUUUCAAGUUGGAUGAGUUGAUCUACAUUGUCUGAGAUGAGAGUAAAGGCACAGAGCAGGGCCAGGAUUGUUGGGGGAAAACACCCACUCACAGAAAACAAGAAUAAAGACGUUCCUCACAACUGACCUUUCCCAUAGGACAUAGCAAGGACCCUUCCAAUUGGCAGCAAUAAAAUGUCAAUUUUAGCAGAAGUAUAGAGUUUUAAACUUAUUACUGAUGACUCAAGAGGAAUAGGCCUCAGGUAUGAAAGGUGCAGAUAGUUAAAAAUGACAACUGUCUGCCUUUUCCCAUUUCUCACCCCUGCUUGACUCUGGUCAAGUUUAUGUUCUCUCACUGCAUACAAAGAAGAAGGCCACUACCAGUCGCUACCUCACACUCUUCCAACUCUGUGACACAAAAGUUAAGGCCUCCUUUACUGUCAAACUGAAAAUGCUAAGGAGAUACUCUGAUGGGUCAACCUGUCACAUGCCCACCUCUGGCCAGUUCCUAGGCCUGGAGAACAGUCUGACUGGCUCACCUACUGUCCCCUGUGGUUUAGCAAAUGGAUUUUAUGCUUGGCAGUUCAAAAGCAAUCACAUUAGAAUGGAAGGCCCCUCAAUUUUUUCCUGGGCUUCUGAGAGAAUCCUAGGUCCUUGCCUAUUUGGUUGCAAAGUGGCUGGAGUGAUACUGAAUGAAUAUACAAAUGAAUUUGGCAGUCUUGGGGACUGUAAGAUUGAGAAUGUCUCUAGUUUUGCUAUUUUAGACUAUUCUUUAUCUAGCCUCUAAAAUAUGUCUUAAAAUCUAUUUUUAUGAGUCCUAAAUAAUCAUAAUUACAUCUUUUAGGGGAUUUAUAUAAAUAAAAAUAAGCUGUUUCUGAUAUGGCCUAUGGCAACCAAUUAAUAAUUUGGAGCAUCAUUAGGUUCCUGGAAAUCUCUUAAAUCACUAUUUGGCCAAAUAAAAAGCUGGAAGAGGCCAAUAUAGUUCAGAUAUAAUGAAAAGUGUAGCAGUGUAAACACUCGCAAUUAAAUAGAGACUACAGUUACUCAGGCUGGGAGAACUGAGAGACUCGUAAAAUGAAAUUAUCUAUUUUUCAUGGACUUUUGAACUUAUAUUUCAGUUCCACCAGCUUUUCCAUGUACUCCUCAUUCAAUUGUGGUUUUUUGGUGGCAUAGGAUAAAGUAAACACUCAACCUAGUAUUUGAUAAUCAGUAGACGAUAAUCUUAAGUUAAAUCCUUCCUUAGAAAUUCAGAGGCAAGAUUUUCACCUUUUGAUUAAGAUACAGGAUCAGAGCCUGAGAUUAAGAAUUGCAAGGCAGGAGUACUUGGGAAUACAAUCCUAGGGAUCAGGAGUGCAGGGAAGUGGGGUGAAAAAAAGAAAUUUUUAAUGAAGUUGGUUACUGCCACAGGCAACUGUCCCCUCUAGGGACCCUCAUGAAACAUGUCUAGGAGCUUAUUCCCCACUGAUCAAGGCUGGCCCCAAGGACAUGCAUUUUCUCACACUUCCAUUGUACACUAAUGUGAGUUUUCCGUGAGUUUUCUUGGGUAGCCCACUCUGGAUGUCAGAGAAAUCCCCUUGUUGAUUUUCUCUUCUCCAGUUGCUAACUGGGUUAGCAGGUCCUCAUUUGUCAAUGUCUUAUAUAAUACAUGAAUGGCUUCAUCCAAUUUUAGGUCUUUCAGUAGCUUUGCAGUUUCACUUGAAGAGUGACUUGUCCUACUUGCAUUGUAUUCUUGGUAACAGCUGGCAAGUUAAUGACUGUCCAAGAAGGAAUCUGGCAUGUUGGGUUGAGAUAGAAGCUGAUAGACAAACAGAGAUAAUGACAGUGCCAAUAAACGGGGUGGUGCUGGGUCACCAAUGGUCAGUUCCUUUGUAUUAUGACCACUUGCUCCCCUCUAAAGCAAGUUAUAACCUAUAACUGUAGGAAGUCAGAAUAGGAGGAGCCCUUUCAUCUCAGGACCACUAGAGGACCUUAAAGGUGGGUCUCUCUCUCUCUAGGGUUCCCAAAGAUUGGUAGCCCAAUUCCAAAUGACAUGCCCUAGCUUGCUGACCCUUGCUUCGGCUAUUAGACUAUAGAUUCCACUUGCAUUAGCUUGCAGUAGCUUGACUGUGUUUCAUAUUUUAAAGGCAAGUCAAAACAGAUGAGUCAUGUUUCUUUUGGGAAAGUUGACCAAAUUCUGCUAUUUUAUCUGGGAUUUCCAUAGAGACUCCUUCAGACAGGGGCCUGUGUACUUGGUAAUGUUUAUUGAGCAAGUUGAUAGAGUUGAGGAACUCAAGCUCCCACCUUAGAGUUCCUCAGAAAUAGAAUUUCUGAUUUUCUUUGUCUGCUUGGAUGUAAGAUGACUUUUAUUGAAAGCAUACACACACACACAGUUUUCAGGAGCUUGAAACCUGUGAUUUUAGCAAAA
rnacentral:lncRNA from 1 species